AGCAAAGAAGAAGAUAGAUAAUGACAGAUCGAAUUUGACAAUUUUAUUGUUUUUAUUUUUCCUGUCCCCAAAACUUAGAAUUUUAGCUCCUUUUCCCUAAAAAUCCUUUGUAGUGUUACGACCUGAAAACUUACCUUCUGUAUCUAUAGUUAAGAAAAUAGAAAAACAAUUAUCAUAACCUAUAACUUAUCCUACCCUAGCCUUUUUGGAUAUAUUUUGAUGGAUUAUUUUAAAUGAAAAUUAUGUCUACAAGCUAUUCCACAGCAUUGUCACACAUUGUUUUAGCUGGUACAAGCAUUUAUUGUUGUCUUCGUUCAGAAUCAAUAAUAUAUGCACAAUGUUCAUUU
rnacentral:lncRNA from 1 species